CUAACUGUGUCACGUGACCCAGCUCCCAUGGAGAAGAGGAAGGUGCCUGGAUCAUUUAGCAGCAGCUGUUGGCAACAUGUGGAGAGGUGGUGAACUCUCAUAAAGUCUCCGAGGAAGCAGUAUGUUAGCCAUGGCCUGCAGUGUUAGGCAACGGUAUUCCAGGAAUCGUGUCUCAAAUCUUCUACUGCCAUCAGUUUACGCACAAACAAGUGCCAGGGAUCAGUGCGAAGCCUCAUGCACUCCAGGCACAUUCUCAUGAAGUAAACCAUUCCUACUAUAUUCUGCAAUCCCAGAGAGAUGGUCAAUCAAGGUGCAUGCAUGUAAUUCAAGGGAAGACUUUGGGCCCUGGGCUAGCAAGAUGCUCAGAAAGUAAAGUCACCUGCCUCUAACCCUGACAACUGGAGUCAGUUCCUUAGGAACCACACGGUGAAGGAGAGAACCUGCUCCUGCAAGUCGUCCUCUGACAGCUGCCCAGGCCCCAGUGUAUCUUUUGGCAUCGACUUGAAUGAGACACCAAGUGCAGGGCAGCGUUUACUCCUCUCUGCUUCCUGUGGACACUGUGUGACCAACUGCUGCACACUCCUGCCUCGGUAGCUGGAGUCACCCUUGCUGCUCGCCCUUCUCCUCCAUGAUGGGCUGCAUCUUCCAAUGUGUGUCAAAAAUCUCCUGCCAUGUCUGUCUUAUCCUAGCAUUUGUAAUGUAUUAUGGAGCUCACCCAAGUGUCUCAUGUGUAGGACAUCUACAAGCAAUGCUUCUCCAAGUGGAACAUGAAUGCAGGGUCCUCUCAUCUGCAGAGGAAGUUCUACUGAGACCCGACCUUCUCCAGGCACAGUGACCUCCAAUCGAAGCCCUCAAGUCAGCUGCCUGCUAUGGCUCCAAGACAGUUUUGGUCUUGUGAUUAUUGAAAUCAACCCACCCCCCUCAGUCACCCUUACAUCUCAUUAACUGCUUCAACCUGAGGUUCAUCAUCCAGUGCUUCGAGAAACUGUGACAACGGAACACAAAUGAGUCCUUUCCAGCUCCGCUCUAUCCCAAAUUAGCAUGCUAUUUAUUAAUAGAUCUGCUAAACAGAGAGUCGAAGAAUCAGUUUGCAAACUCUUGACCACCGAAUUCCCUCUUGGGAGACUCUAUGGUGACUAUCAGCACAUUAAAGAUUUCCAUGAGUACUGAUAAAUGGCUGAACUUUGGCUCGGGUGCUCUCAGACAUGGGCUUAGUGGCUACCAGACAUGGCCUUGGAGGCUCUCAGAUGUGGAGCAUGUUUCUUUCCAGAUGUGGGUCUUGGCAUUGGGGGCCGGGUCUGAUCUUGAGUGUCCUCCAGGGUUUGCAAUGGAUAGGCAUCUGGUUUCAAUUCUUGUCUCUGGUCUGAAGAGGUAGAGCGGACGAUCCUUACCCUGUGACUGACUGGGUCAGUGUCCUCAUCUGUAAACUGAAGGGGACGUGACAUCUUGUCUCUAGCCUCCUUCCCAUUCAACUUACAGGGUCACAGACUACAAUCUCAUGAUAAACUGUGUCAUAUGGAUAAUAAGCUGCCUCACCAGGUGUACGCCGUGGAAA